rnacentral:tRNA from 1 species
GGGCCCGUAGCUCAGUUGGUUAGAGCACACGCUUGAUAAGCGUGGGGUCGGAAGUUCAAGUCUUCCCGGGCCCACCAUUUGCAUUUUGCGAGUGAUGGCUGAGGGAUUGACGAGCCGUGACGCGGAACGUUGCCGAACCUGGGUUUGCCCCCGGGCGAUCGAGCUGAUGGGGCUGUAGCUCAGCUGGGAGAGCACCUGCUUUGCAAGCAGGGGGUCAGCGGUUCGAUCCCGCUCAGCUCCACCAUAUUUUGUCCGGACGCUGUCGCGCUCUUCGAGCGCUGCGCUCUGGAGGCCGCCGAACGAUCGGCGAGGCGCUUUAUGCGCGGUAUGGGUGGAUGAUUUGAACAUCGGCGUUUGUCUUCUGGAAGAAAAACAAAGUUUGCAUCGUCUGCGUGACGAUGCCUGUUCUGCAUAUAUCGUGAAGAGAAGAUUGAUCUGGAGGCUUCCAGGUGUCGGGUUUUGCCCUUUUGGGUUUAAUUUGGCGUCCGAAGCCGGUUCCAAUGAUGUCGUGGAAGGUCUAGCCGACCGGAAACGAAAGAGGAGCCGGACGUAGGAAGGAAGCUUGUCCCGAGGCAUUGUUGUUGUUUGAAGGCUUUGGCGUUCAUCUGACAGACGGUGCUGGAUUGGCGUUGCCUGACCGCGCGCCACCGGAUUUGAUCUCGAGAAGCUGGUCUUAAGAUGAGAUCGCCAGCGAGCUGCUCGGCGUAGCUCCAAUAAAGCGAUCUUGUCGAACACGUCGAUGGCAUCUGAAAUGAUCCGGUUGUAAAAGGUAACCGGAUUGUUGGGUACUGACGGCUGCGGCAACUGAGAAGUUGUCCGGAUUGUCAGAUUUGGACCCCCUUUGAGCGCAAGCGAGAAGGACAGGAAUUCCAAAUCCAACUAUGGAUGAGCAUUGGCAAUGAGAAC